UACGAAGGGGGUCGAGCGUUUAUCGGAAUUACUGGGCGUAAAGCGCGUGUAGGCGGCUUUGCAAGUCGGAUGUGAAAGCCCUCGGCUCAACCGAGGAAGUGCGUUCGAAACUGCAGAGCUUGAGUGCCGGAAAGGGUGGCGGAAUUCCCCAAGUAGAGGUGAAAUUCGUAGAUAUGGGGAGGAACACCGGUGGGCGAAGGCGGCCGACCUGGACGGUCACUGACGCUGAGACGCGAAAGCGUGGGUAGCAAACAGG
rnacentral:rRNA from 1 species